GGCCUGGUGGUCUAGUAGUAUGAUUCCUUCUUAGGGCUGUCAAGUCACGUGUGGAGGAGGUCCCGGGUUCAAUUCCCGGCCAGGCCC